UACGAACCGUCCAAACGUUAUUCGGAAUCACUGGGCUUAAAGAGUCCGUAGGCGGCCAAUUAGGUGAGGUGUGAAAUCCCCCGGCUUAACCGAGGAAUUGCGCUUCAAACCGAUUGGCUAGAGGAAGAUAGAGGAAAGCGGAACUGAUGGUGGAGCGGUGAAAUGCGUUGAUAUCAUCAGGAACACCGGUGGCGAAAGCGGCUUUCUGGGUCUUUUCUGACGCUGAGGGACGAAAGCUAGGGGAGCGAAGCGGG
rnacentral:rRNA from 1 species